AACAUAUGUGGCUUCGGACCAAAUGCAACUGGAAAGCGUGUUUUUGGACUGCGAAAGAUGAUGGGAUUUACCUCAAAGACAUUCCGGCGAAUAGAGACGAGCGUGUUCAUCCAUGGGAAUAACGUACAUGAUGGUGAUAUUGAAAUGGUUGUAAUGUUGUAAAUUGAACUUCUUGUAAUACAUAUAUAUAUAUGUAUAUAUAUACAUAUAUAUAUAUAUAUGUUUAUAAGAUCGUAAGAGCAUCUUUAGCAAUGCUAGCCAUUUUUAAGUUAAAUUUUAGUUAAAUUAGCUAAAAUGUCAUUUUGGCUAGCCACUUUAGAAAUGCGACUGCAUCAUUGCUCUCUAUUUUAUCUAGCAUUACAUCAACAUUAUUCUUCAAAUAAAGAUUAAAUAGUUUAAAUAUAUUUAUAUAUCACGUAAAAUAUCUUACAAGGAAUGUAUUAAAUUAUAACUAGUCUUAUCUGAGUUAUAUAACUAGCGAGAUAGCUAAAAGUCAUAAUAGCUAAAUUUUGGCUAAUCUGCUGGAGCUUCGAAAAUAUUUAAAAAAAGCUAAACACGCUUUCUAAAAUAGCUAAAAGCUAAAAUAGAGAGUUUGCUAAAGUUGCUCUAAAAGAAGAUCCGAAGAUGUUAAUAUCAUAUAUUUAUGAAGAAAUAAAAGAACAAGUUCGGCUUAAAAUAUUUCUUGUGUUGGAAUGUAAUACGUAACAAGCUUGAUCGGCUUUGCUCAGGUCAAUAAUUUGAAUCUAAUUAGAUGUUAGGAUGAGUUCGAUUUAUUUCUUGGAUUUAGGAACACUCUAACUGCUAUAUUGCUUUCUCUCCUACCACAUGAGAACAAGACCAUAUAUAAGCUCUCCAACAAGAUGCUAAUAAAUUAACAUGACUAAACCCUCGUAUGAAAAAAAAACAUUACUAAUUAAUAAUUAAACCCUAAAACUGGUCUUAAAUAUAAUUGUUAAGAGGGUAUAAGGCCGGAAAAUGAACCUUUGAAAAGAAUAAGGCAGCGAGUUUCCUUCUUUUGGUUACUCAAACGCAUUUCUAAUGUGAUACAUGACCAAACAAAUACAAGAGUGCAUUCCAGGUGAAUUAAAUUCACCAUAAUUGAGGCGGCGCUCCAGCUCCAAGACAACAUAGUUGUGCUUCCCGUCGAGGUGGCGAUCGGUCUUGAAGGCUGAGAGCGACAAGGCUUGAUGAGGCUUUCGGUUUUGAGCAGAGAAUCUUAUAGGCAAAGCCGGGCAAAUAUGUGGCCUUCAUUGCAAUGACGAGUGACGGCCUUCAGGCGGCCGGAAUUAAUCGACCUUUAACUUACGAGGCAGAAGUAAUCGUCGUCUUCUCAGUGGCGCCGUAGAAGCUGUUUGUUCUGGUUUUGAUUGAAUCGAAGAGACUUGCUCAUGGUUGGAUCAAAAGAUUACGUGUAACGACACAAUACUUGAGAUACCAUUUCAAGUAAAUAAAAUUAACUGAGUGAUUGAAUUUUCUUUUGGUAUAUAUAUUAAGUUGUGAAACAUCGAUCACAGUUUUUUUUUCUUCAUAUUUUAAUCUUCUCUUAUUUCGUCUUGUACUUCCCUAAUCAUUAGAAGUUUAGAACAUAGAAUAGGAGCUCCUAUCCUCUGGGAUAAAAUUUAAAUCUUGACCAAGUCCUUGGGAGAUCUACCGAGUGCCCAAAACCGUAUAACCAUUUACAACUAAAAUUACACAUUAUACUAAUACUAGCUUCUUCUGUUGUGUCCCAGAUUCAGAUUAGAUUUUUCUUGUUGACGCAAGGAACGGCUAUCACCUUUUGAGGGAGAGGAGAGCCUUUCGAUCGUUAAUCACAUACAACAGUUUUUCUCAUACAUUGACUGCUAGAAAUUGGAUAUAAAAAGAGCAUCGAGGAAUUGAUCAUAUCAGUCAUCUAUCUAAAUCCUCAUAAACAAGAAUGAUAGCUCUCAAAGGCAUUGCCAUUUUCUACUUGUGUGCAACUUUGGCACUUAGCAUCUGCCCGGAAUCCUAUGCCAAAUGGCCCGGUCUUGAUCCCACCAAUUGGAAUGUGCACGUUGUUAACGGUUUGAGUGGAGGAAGACAACUGGUUGUCCACUGCAAGUCCGACGUCGACGAUCUCGGCAUCCAUACUCUUGGUCCUGGUGGCGACUUCAAUUGGCAUUUCCAUGUCAACUUGCCUGGGACAACAAAAUUCACUUGCGACUGGCGUGCCGGCAAUCUACAUGCUGUGACUGAUGUGUUCUGGAGGGAGGCUGAACAUAUGUGGCUUCGGACCAAAUGCAACUGGAAAGAGUGUUUUUGGACUGCGAAAGACGAUGGCAUUUACCUCAAAGACAUUCCGGCGAAUAGUGAAGAGCGUGUUCAUCCAUGGGAAUAACAUGAUGGUGAUAUUGAAAGGUAGUUAUGUGUUGUAAAUUGCACUUCUUGUAAUACAUAUGUUUAAAUGAUUGUAAAGGAAGAUGUCAAAUUCAUAUAUUUCUGAAGAAAUUAAAGAUCCUAAAACAUAUCUUGGUGUUGAAAUGUAAUAACAAG
rnacentral:lncRNA from 1 species